ACGGAGGGUGCGAGCGUUGUCCGGAAUCAUUGGGCGUAAAGGGCGCGUAGGUGGCCCGGUCAGUCUUUGGUGAAAGCGCGGGGCUCAACCCUGCGUCGGCCAGGGAUACUGCCGCGGCUCGAGCACUGUAGAGGCAGGCGGAAUUCCGGGUGUAGCGGUGGAAUGCGUAGAGAUCCGGAAGAACACCGGUGGCGAAGGCGGCCUGCUGGGCAGUUUUGCUG
rnacentral:rRNA from 1 species